UGCACGUCAAAGCUCACCUCGUUUGCCACAUCUUGAUUAGUCAGGAAUUAACGUAACCAUCACAUCAUGAACCAUGCAAGGAUUAAGCUAAUGCACCUGCAGACAGUUUCAUCAAAGCUUGCUUAAAUCCUUAGUAUGCCAAACAAUAGCAGUGUAAGCAAAAACUAACAAGAAAGGAAACAUUACACAAGUAGUGAGAUCUUUGCACAACAAGCUAUCAGUACAUGGUAAAAUUUAUGUACAAACCGCAUGAAUGAUUUAACAUGAUGAAAUUGUUGGUCAGUUAUUAUAUCAAAUUGCUUACUACUAGUAUAUAUAAAAGCUUUCGUACAUUUUUUUCUAUGUGUGCGAGUUCACGUAAAUGGCAUUUAUCAAGUACCCAAAGCUUACUUUUAUUAUUAUCAAACUACUUGCAAUAGUAUUACCUGAAGUGUAUGCCACUGCUAUGGCUUUCUUAUCAACCACAACCUAACAAACACGAAACCCUAUCGCAACUCUAUGUUUAAAGUUCUGGGGUACUGACUGUAUCAGCAAGCUGUGCAUUUCAUUUUGAUCACUUCAGCUCUUUUGCUUGACAACAGUAAUACAGUAUCUGCAAGAAGCAGCAUGGCAAGAUAAACAUUUAUCAAGAAAAGACAGGAACUUGACAAGCUCUGUCAUUUAAACUUUGAGGAUUCACUUAGUAACAAGAAAGAUUAAUUAAGCUGGUUGAUUCUGUAUGAUUCUGCACGACUUUCGAAGUUGAGAUGCGAGUCUGGUUUUUUUUCAGCAUUGCUAUUGUACAAGCACAAUAAUUUGUGCGUGUAUGACGAGUGAAGAUGUGGCAAACGAAAGUGCAAAAACAAGUUGCAUUUAUCUCAAUAUAACCAAAGUGACCCACUUUUGGUUGCUGCAUACUGUACGCACCAGACCUGCACAUUUUCUGUUAGACAAUUCUACAAACUCCUUUUCUUUUACGAGUUACACAUAAAGUAAAAAAAAAUAGCAUAUAAUCGUCUUUUCUGGUCAUUCAUCAAAUGAUUUCUUGCAUUGCAAUCACAGUGUGGUGUAGCCCUUGUGCAACAAGAAAGUUAUCUUUGCAUUGUUGUGUUCUAAUUUCUUUGUGACCAACAAGUGCAACCUUCCGUCAAACAAUGUUUAGUUGUAAUGGCUGCUCUACAUUAAUUACUAAGUCAUCCUGCCAUACUGUCCAAGAUUACAUUUUUAUUCCGUUAAUUCUUUUAUUAAAUCGUUCAUUAGUUUCCUGCAGCACCUGUGCGAAAUUACUGCAAAUGAGUGAAUACGGAUACAGAAUAAAAGCAUGGUCAAAAAAGGUUCCCUCGUAAUAAGAGUAUCAUGCGCCGCUACAAAGAAGCACCUUAAGAUACAUUCGGUGGAUUACACAGAAUCACAGGAUUACAAUUUGCGCAGCUAUUACAGCGCAAGAAAUUGUGUGCGUGUGUGUGUGUGUUGACAAGACAGCCUUCCUAAAACACUAUAGAACUUUAGCAGGUCAGGAGAGAACACAGCAACAACCAAAUGAGAAAAAAAAAUGCAUGCAGAUCUCCCAAAGCCUUGUCAAUCCAGCCCAACAGCACUGCCACAAAUGAUUGGUCAUAAUUACAGAGGAACACGGAUGGCUUCAAAGGGCCUGUCUUCAGCAUUAAGACAUUGAGCUAAUCAGUGAUCCCUAAUGCAUAAUAAUAGGGCAAGGUCAUUAACAUUCUUUUAUCCUGAUUUUUUUUUCCUUUGACAUAGACAAAAUAAUCAUGAAACUGUUUUGCAAUAGUAGAAUUUUUGCUUGACAUGCUUGAUCAAGGUCACCAAGCAACAUGUUAAUUCCUACAGUCAAGUGCAGCUCAAUUCUUUUUGCAUCCUUAAUUCCUAAUACAC